rnacentral:lncRNA from 1 species
AUGAAAAUAGGACACUUUUUGGAGUUUGGAGUGGUCAGCAGCAUGAAGGUUAAUUAUUUUUAUCUGUGUGAGAUAAGCAGACUCAGGCCACAUUUAUUUGACUGCAAAGAAAUCGGUGUGCUCCAAAGACUAGGUCAGUCCAGUUUGCAGAUGCGGGGACUAACACAUGAAGUUCUUCUGUGGAAUGGAAGUGCUCUGCUGACCAGAAAGAAGGACAAUGUGAAAGGAAGAAAGAAAGAAAGAAAGAAAAAAAAAUCACUUACUAGACCAAGAAUCAAGAGAUCAGGUUCUAAUUCUAGCCCUGUUACCUGUCAGUGGGAUAAUCCUGUGUAAACCAUUUAGAGUCUACAACAGUUUCUUCCUUUUUAAAAUUCAGUAAUAGACUGUGUUUUCCCCGUGUAUCUUACAGGAUUGUUGUAAAGAUCAAACAAAUUAAUAAAUGAGCAAAUGUUUUGACAAUUAACUCACAAUUAAUUAACAGUGGCUUGGUAUUGAGGGUGCCAUCUCUCCUUUCAUCUCCGCAAUAAUCCCAUGCAGCAGGCAUAGCUCGAUCCAUUUGAAAACCUGAGCCCAGCGAGAUACCCAGUGACUUGCUAGAGCUUAAUAGCCAUAGAGCAGGACAGCCGGGAUUCAAAACCAAGCCUCCUGACUCUAAGUGCUUUUCUCACUAUUAUGUCGAAUCAUAUGAAAUUGCUAUUUUUGUAGGUCAAAAAAAAAAUCAAAUGUCAGCAAUUUCAUAUGGUUUAACCUGGUAGAACACAUCUGUACAAAGAACUAUUGAAAUUCAAGAGAGCAGAACUAUUGAGUAGUAGCUUAGGCUCUGAUUAGCACCAUUUAGGAACAAUGUUCCCUUAUA